AAGAGCCCAAACCAAAGAUUUAUCUUUGGGGUUGCGGACAGAACAUUAACGAGAAAUUAUGGUUAACCGAACACAACUGGAAAGUUGGACCGUAGGGGGUAAUAGUCCUGUAGGUGAAAAUUAUAAUGAUCAAGUUCUGAUCCAGAGUACCACGAGACACGUGAAACCUUGUGGGAAGCAGGGAGGACCACCUCCCAAGGCUAAAUACUACCUGAUGACCGAUAGUGAAGCAGUACCG
rnacentral:rRNA from 1 species